rnacentral:lncRNA from 1 species
UCGCCGAAUUCAUUGAGCAUCAUCAUAAUAUCACACAUUCCUCUGGACUCGAACCGGCAUCAUCAUAAUAUCACACAUUCCUCCGGACACGAACUGGGCAUCAUCAUAAUAUCACACAUUCCUCCGGACUCGAACCGGGCAUCAUCAUAAUAUUACACAUUCCUUCGGACUCGAACCGGACAUCAUCAUAAUAUCACACAUUCCUCCGGACUAGAACCGGGCAUCAUCAUAAUAUCACAUAUUCCUCCGGAUUAACCGGGCAUCAUCAUAGUAUCAAUAAUUCCUCCGGAUUUACCGGGCAUCAUCAUUGUAUCAAUAUUUUCCAAGACAACAACAUACACACAUAAAUGGCCCCAAAUCAAUAAACAUACACAAGUUCACAAUAAUCGAGUAAUAGAGAUGUAAGAUGCAUAAACCAUCACACUUUAUUACUAGUCAUCAUCAUGACAUGUGAGUAGAAGCAUAGGCAUGAGUAUCUAGAUGACAUACACAAUUACCAUAUUUCCUUGGCUAUCCAUAACACGGUAAUAAGACAACAAUCAAGAAUACACAUUUUUCAACCAUCG